AACGUAGGCGGAAAAUUAAGUCAGUAGUGAAAUCCCGCAGCUUAACUGUGGAACUGUUAUUGAUACUGGUUUUCUUGAAUAUAGUUGAGGUAGGCGGAAUGUGUAAUGUAGCGGUGAAAUGCUUAGAUAUUACACAGAACACCGAUUGCGAAGGCAGCUUACUAAGCUAUGAUUGACGCUGAGGUACGAAAGCGUGGGGAGCGAACAGGAUUAGAUACCCUGGUAGUCC
rnacentral:rRNA from 1 species